rnacentral:rRNA from 1 species
UACGUAGGGUGCAGGCGUUAAUCGGAAUUACUGGGCGUAAAGCGUGCGCAGGCGGUCUUUUAAGUCAGAUGUGAAAUCCCCGGGCUUAACCUGGGAACUGCGUUUGAAACUGGAAGGCUAGAGUGUGGCAAAGGGGGGUGGAAUUCCACGUGUAGCAGUGAAAUGCGUAGAUAUGUGGAGGAACACCGAUGGCGAAGGCAGCCCCCUGGGCUAACACUGACGCUCAUGCACGAAAGCGUGGGGAGCAAACAGG